UACGUAGGGUGCGAGCGUUGUCCGGAAUUACUGGGCGUAAAGAGCUCGUAGGUGGUUUGUCGCGUUGUUCGUGAAAACUCACAACUCAAUUGUGGGCGUGCGGGCGAUACGGGCAGACUGGAGUACUGCAGGGGAGACUGGAAUUCCUGGUGUAGCGGUGGAAUGCGCAGAUAUCAGGAGGAACACCGGUGGCGAAGGCGGGUCUCUGGGCAGUAACUGACGCUGAGACACGAAAGCGUGGGGAGCAAACAGG
rnacentral:rRNA from 1 species